rnacentral:rRNA from 1 species
AGAGUUUGAUCCUGGCUCAGGAUGAACGCUAGCUACAGGCUUAACACAUGCAAGUCGAGGGGCAGCAUGAACUUAGCUUGCUAAGUUUGAUGGCGACCGGCGCACGGGUGAGUAACACGUAUCCAACCUGCCGAUGACUCGGGGAUAGCCUUUCGAAAGAAAGAUUAAUACCCGAUGGCAUAGUUCUUCCGCAUGGUAGAACUAUUAAAGAAUUUCGGUCAUCGAUGGGGAUGCGUUCCAUUAGGUUGUUGGCGGGGUAACGGCCCACCAAGCCUUCGAUGGAUAGGGGUUCUGAGAGGAAGGUCCCCCACAUUGGAACUGAGACACGGUCCAAACUCCUACGGGAGGCAGCAGUGAGGAAUAUUGGUCAAUGGGCGAGAGCCUGAACCAGCCAAGUAGCGUGAAGGAUGACUGCCCUAUGGGUUGUAAACUUCUUUUAUAAAGGAAUAAAGUCGGGUAUGUAUACCCGUUUGCAUGUACUUUAUGAAUAAGGAUCGGCUAACUCCGUGCCAGCAGCCGCGGUAAUACGGAGGAUCCGAGCGUUAUCCGGAUUUAUUGGGUUUAAAGGGAGCGUAGGCGGACGCUUAAGUCAGUUGUGAAAGUUUGCGGCUCAACCGUAAAAUUGCAGUUGAUACUGGGUGUCUUGAGUACAGUAGAGGCAGGCGGAAUUCGUGGUGUAGCGGUGAAAUGCUUAGAUAUCACGAAGAACUCCGAUUGCGAAGGCAGCCUGCUGGACUGUAACUGACGCUGAUGCUCGAAAGUGUGGGUAUCAAACAGGAUUAGAUACCCUGGUAGUCCACACAGUAAACGAUGAAUACUCGCUGUUUGCGAUAUACAGUAAGCGGCCAAGCGAAAGCGUUAAGUAUUCCACCUGGGGAGUACGCCGGCAACGGUGAAACUCAAAGGAAUUGACGG